rnacentral:rRNA from 1 species
UUAAAAAGCUCGUAGUUGGAUUUCGGAGUGGGCCAGUUGGUCCGCCGCAAGGUGUGUUACUGACUGGUCUGCUCUUCUUCGCAAAGACUGCGUGUGCUCUUUGUUGAGUGUGCGUAGGAUUUACGACGUUUACUUUGAAAAAAUUAGAGUGUUCAAAGCAGGCUAUUGCUUGAAUACAUGAGCAUGGAAUAAUGGAAUAGGACUUUGGUCCCAUUUUGUUGGUUUCUAGGACCGAAGUAAUGAUUAAGAGGGACAAUUGGGGGCAUCCGUAUUUCGUUGUCAGAGGUGAAAUUCUUGGAUCUACGAAAGACGAACAACUGCGAAAGCACUUGCCAAGAGUGUUUUCAUUAAUCAAGAACGAAAGUUAGAGGAUCGAAGACGAUCAGAUACCGUCCUAGUUCUAACCAUAAACGAUGUCGACUAGGGAUCAGCGGGCGUUAUCGUACGACCCCGUUGGCACCUUACGGGAAACCAAAGUUUCUGGAUUCCGGGGGAAGUAUAGUCGCAAGGCCGAAACUUAAAGGAAUUGACGGAAGGGCACCACCAGGAGUGGAGCCUGUGGCUCAAUUUGACUCAACACGGGAAAACUUACCAGGUCCAGACAUAGUAAGGAUUGAC